GGAAAGGGCGGGUGCUAAUACAUGCAAGUCGAGCGGACUGAUGGGAGCUUGCUCCCAUCAGUCAGCGGCGGACGGGUGAGUAACACGUGGGUAACCUGCCUGUAAGACUGGGAUAACUCCGGGAAACCGGGGCUAAUACCGGAUAACUCAUUUCCUCGCAUGAGGAAAUGUUGAAAGAUGGCUUCUUGCUAUCACUUACAGAUGGACCCGCGGCGCAUUACCUAGUUGGUGAGGUAACGGCUCACCAAGGCAACAAUGCGUACCCAACCUGAAAGGGUGAUCGGCCACACUGGGACUGAAACACGGCCCAAACUCCUACGGGAGGCAGCAGUAGGGAAUCUUCCGCAAUGGACAAAAGUCUGACGGAGCAACGCCGCGUGAGUGAUGAAGGUUUUCGGAUCGUAAAACUCUGUUGUUAGGGAAAAACAAGUACCGUUCGAAUAGGGCGGUACCUUGACGGUACCUAACCAAAAAGCCACGGCUAACUACGUGCCAGCAGCCGCGGUAAUACGUAGGUGGCAAGCGUUGUCCGGAAUUAUUGGGCGUAAAGCGCGCGCAGGUGGUUUCUUAAGUCUGAUGUGAAAGCCCACGGCUCAACCGUGAAGGGUCAUUGAAAACUGGGGAACUUGAGUGCAAAAAAGGAAAGUGAAAUUCCAAGUGUAGCGGUGAAAUGCGUAGAUAUUUGGAGGAACACCAGUGCCGAAGGCGACUUUCUGGUCUGUAACUGACACUGAGGCGCGAAAGCGUGGGGAGCAAACAGGAUUAGAUACCCUGGGUAGUCCACGCCGUAAACGAUGAGUGCUAGGUGUUAAGAGGGAUUUCCGCCCUUUUAGUGCUGCAGCUAACGCAUUAAGGCAUCUCCGCCUGGCGGAGUACGGUUCGCAAGACUGAACUCAAAGGAAAUUGACGAGGCCCGGCACAAGCGGUGUAGCAUGUGUUUUAAUUCGAAGCACGCGAAGAACAUUAACAGGUCUGACAUCUUCUGACACCCUUAGAGAUAGGUCUGUCCCUUCCGGCGACAGAGUGACAGGCUGUGCAUGAUGUUCGUCACUCCGUUCAUGAAUGUUGGUUAAGUUCAGCAACUGACGCAAGCCUUGAUCG
rnacentral:rRNA from 2 species